rnacentral:rRNA from 1 species
GCAGCCCCCAACUUCACCACACACACAGUGGCCUGGACUGGGGUCACGUUUCUGCUUCACUAGCUAAGUGGGUAGAGGCCUGGCCACUACAUGGAUGGGAGACCUGUAGAGAACAAUGAGUGGGGGGCGCU